GGCCUUGGAGGAGGUGUGGCUUUGUUGAAGGAGGUGUGGCCUUGUUGGAGGAGGUGUGGCUUUGUUGGAGGAAAUCCUUCACUGGGGUGGGCUCGGAGGUUUUAGAUGCUCCAGGGAAGCCCAGUGUCAUUCUAUCUUCCUGCUGCCUGCCUAUCUGUAUAUAGAACUCUCAGACACCUCUCCGGCAACACGUCUGCCUGCGUGCCACCAUGCUUCCAGCCAUGCCAACGAGGGACGAAGCCCCGGAACUAAGAAGCGUUCAGAGGAAAAUGCAUCCUGCUCCCUGGAUGUCCAGUCAUAGGAGUUAAGACGAGUCAGGAAGUGUCUCUUCCAUUUAGAGCUGGAUUCAUCUCAGAUGCAGAACAAGUGCAAAGCAAAAUCUGGUGUGCGUGAGCUCAGGAGAGCCUCUUCACCCCGAGACUAGAUGAGGCAACCUUGAAUCAUUAUUGUUCCUACGUACAGAAGAGUUCUAAGGCUGAUACCAAUGGUUCCGUGCAGAGUCUGGAAGUUAACCGUGAUGACAGUCAACAGUCCUUAGUCCCUGGUGUUAGCUGACACACGUCUUUCCCAAAAAAAAAAUCUCCUUAAUCUCAAAAAGAUUCUCUCUGGCCUCUCCCGCCUUGUUCAGAUUUUCUUAAAGGACCACGAACUGACUAUUAAAAGAUAGCAUUUUCGGGGCGGCGGUGGCGCAUGCCUUUGAUCCCAGAAAUCUGGGAGCAGAGGCAGAAGGAUCCUUUGUCUCAAAUUCUGCUGUUUUUUUCCGGAUUUGCCAGUAGGUGGCGCCCUCUGCGUGUUGCUGUUAGCUGGCUCUUUGCAAAUCUCCUUUCCUCUCCAGACUGGAAAUUUCCAGAUCCACAGUCAUUUUUGGAGCCACACACUCUUGGCCCCUCCCCUGGUACUUCUUCGGCCCCGGGCUCAACUAGCCUUAGUUGGGCCCCCAGCUUCAC
rnacentral:lncRNA from 1 species